AUACGGAGGCUGCAAGCGUUACUCGGAAUCACUGGGCGUAAAGGACGCGUAGGCGGGUUGUCAAGUCAGAUGUGAAAUCCUACAGCUUAACUGUAGAACUGCAUUUGAAACUGGCAACCUAGAGUAUGGGAGGGGGAGAUGGAAUUAGUGGUGUAGGGGUAAAAUCCGUAGAUAUCACUAGGAAUACCGAAAGCGAAGGCGAUCUCCUGGAACAUAACUGACGCUAAGGCGUGAAAGCGUGGGGAGCAAACGGGAUUAGAAACCCUAGUAGUCC
rnacentral:rRNA from 1 species